GAGCAUUGCUCUUCUGGGUCCUUGCGGUCCUGCCUUCGCACCACCUGGCUUUAUGAGGAUAGACUCCUGCGAGGAGCCUUAUCAGACCCCUGGCCUUCAGCUGGGGAUCCAGGGAGUCGACACCCACAAAUCUCCUCCCAUCCCUGACCCCAGGGCCUGCGUCCAGCGUCUGGCCCGGCCUCUGUAUCCGUGUGAGGAAAGAACACCCACCUGAGGCUCUGCCUGCGCCCUGGCAUUGAUGGUGUUGUGUAACACAGUGACUGGAUGGGGCUGGACCGGCCCCACAGUGCCCCACAGCCAAGCUUUUGAAGGGAUGACAGUGCUGGGUCUGGGGGCUACAGGGAAGACUGAAGUCCCCCAGCUCCUCCUCCUGUGAGGCUCUCCUCACAGCACCAUGUCUGGGACCAGAGAUGCACUAAACUGGCCUGGUACUGGCUGCAGAAGGCCUGUCUGAGGAUUGUCGCCGGCAGCAUAAAAGGAGAAGUGGAGGCGAAGAUGGUGCUGUGGGUUCUACUGGAGCAGCUUGUCGCGCUGGCUCUCCUGAUCUGCACUCAGCUGUUCUCAUCUUCGGAGGAACUUGGGUCCUCACUGUCGCUGGGGAUGGCAUGGUUCUUUCCGGGGAAGCUCUGGGCCUUCCCUUGAGCAUCGCUUCCCAGCUCCCGUGCAGAUC